rnacentral:rRNA from 1 species
UACGUAGGGGGCAAGCGUUGUCUGGAUUUAUUGGGCGUAAAGAGCGUGUAGGCGGCCUGACAGGUCUGCUGUGAAAACUCGAGGCUCAACCUCGAGAUGUCGGCGGAAACCGUCUGGCUAGAGUCCGGAAGAGGAGAGUGGAAUUCCCGGUGUAGCGGUGAAAUGCGCAGAUAUCAGGAGGAACACCAAUGGCGAAGGCAGCUCGCUGGGACGGUACUGACGCUGAGACGCGAAAGCGUGGGGAGCAAACAGG